rnacentral:rRNA from 1 species
UACGUAGGGUGCAAGCGUUAAUCGGAAUUACUGGGCGUAAAGGGCUCGUAGGCGGCCAACUAAGUCGGACGUGAAAUCCCCAGGCUCAACCUGGGAACUGCAUCCGAUACUGGAUGGCUUGAAUUCGGGAGAGGGAUGCAGAAUUCCAGGUGUAGCGGUGAAAUGCGUAGAUAUCUGGAGGAAUACCGGUGGCGAAGGCGGCAUCCUGGACCGACAUUGACGCUGAGGAGCGAAAGCCAGGGGAGCAAACGGGG